CCGCAUGGUUCAAGGAUGAAAGACGGUUUCGGCUGUCACUUACAGAUGGACCCGCGGCGCAUUAGCUAGUUGGUGGGGUAAUGGCUCACCAAGGCGACGAUGCGUAGCCGACCUGAGAGGGUGAUCGGCCACACUGGGACUGAGACACGGCCCAGACUCCUACGGGAGGCAGCAGUAGGGAAUCUUCCGCAAUGGACGAAAGUCUGACGGAGCAACGCCGCGUGAGUGAUGAAGGUUUUCGGAUCGUAAAGCUCUGUUGUUAGGGAAGAACAAGUGCGAGAGUAACUGCUCGCACCUUGACGGUACCUAACCAGAAAGCCACGGCUAACUACGUGCCAGCAGCCGCGGUAAUACGUAGGUGGCAAGCGUUGUCCGGAAUUAUUGGGCGUAAAGGGCUCGCAGGCGGUUUCUUAAGUCUGAUGUGAAAGCCCCCGGCUCAACCGGGGAGGGUCAUUGGAAACUGGGAAACUUGAGUGCAGAAGAGGAGAGUGGAAUUCCACGUGUAGCGGUGAAAUGCGUAGAGAUGUGGAGGAACACCAGUGGCGAAGGCGACUCUCUGGUCUGUAACUGACGCUGAGGAGCGAAAGCGUGGGGAGCGAACAGGAUUAGAUACCCUGGUAGUCCACGCCGUAAACGAUGAGUGCUAAGU
rnacentral:rRNA from 2 species